CCUACGGGAGGCAACAGUGGGGGAUAUUGCACAAUGGGGGAAACCCUGAUGCAGCGACGCCGCGUGGGUGAAGAAGCGCCUCGGCGCGUAAAGCCCUGUCAGCAGGGAAGAAAAUGACGGUACCUGAAGAAGAAGUCCCGGCUAACUACGUGCCAGCAGCCGCGGUAAUACGUAGGGGGCAAGCGUUAUCCGGAUUUACUGGGUGUAAAGGGGGCGCAGACGGCGAUGCAAGCCAGGAGUGAAAGCCCGGGGCCCAACCCCGGGACUGCUCUUGGAACUGCGUGGCUAGAGUGCAGGAGGGGCAGGCGGAAUUCCUGGUGUAGCGGUGAAAUGCGUAGAUAUCAGGAGGAACACCGGUGGCGAAGGCGGCCUGCUGGACUGCAACUGACGUUGAGGCCCGAAAGCGUGGGGAGCAAACAGGAUUAGAUACCCCAGUAGUC
rnacentral:rRNA from 1 species